ACGAGAGCGGAGAGGACGCGGUGACGCUCGCUCCGACCUGUUACUGAGCGAAUUCACAUAUUUUUGUCUUUCGCUUGAAUUUUUUCACUUUAAUUCGUCCAUACACCUGUUCUGUGUUUGCGUGUGUGUUCUGUCUGUGUGUGAGCAUUAUUUCUAACAAAGACAUUUAUUUUGUGUGUGUGAUUUUUUUUUGGUUUUGUUUGCAUUCUGGAAGAAACAAAGUUCUGAAAUUGCAUUCCCUUGGGCCUGUGUGUGCGCAUGGACGUGUACAUGUAUGUGCGUCUGUGUGUACGUCUGCUUGUGUACGUGCGCACGCGGGAUGGGCUAUCGCAGUUGUCAUGGCAAUGCCCUUAUGAGAACGGACAAGCCAGGGGCGCAAAGCGAGAGCAUCCUCGGCUCGAGUGGUUCUGCAACUUGCAACGCCCAUCAUCGGUGUCGUUAUCAUUAUUAUGAGUAUUAUCGUCAUUUUGCUAUUUUAACAGGAAUCUGCUAAAGAGUUAUGAAUAAAUAAAUAAUGAAGCAAAAAGAUAAAUAGACAGAUAAAUACGAUAAGCGAAUAGAGACGUAAAUUAGGAAACCAGGAAAUACAGACACAUCGAAGAAUAAUAAAUGAAGGAUAAGUGAAAAAAAAAAAAGGGAAAGAGAAAGAGACAAGAAAUAAUGAUAAAAAUGAAAAAUAAAUGAAUGAUGAAUAAAUAAACAGGUAGAUACAGCAAAUUACAGAUUAUAUUUUCUAUCAAAUGAAAAUUAGCGCGAAUGACUUUUAAGACAAUAUAAGAAAUCAUAUAAAUAAUUUAGUGAAAAAGGUAAGACACAAGGAUGAUAUAGAUAAGACAUAUCUAUAAUAAAAAAGAUAUAAAGAGAUAGUGGACAUAAAAAAAAGUAUUUGUUUUGAUAACAACACUGGAGAAAGCAUUGGAAUAAAUAUUAUUGGUCAUUAUGCAAUAAAAUCGACGAAGGCAAACAACAACAACAGCAACAAAAGCAACAACAGCAACAACAGCAACAACAAAAACAACAACAACAGCUGUUCUUACAACAACAACAACAACAACAACAACAAAAUCAACAACAAUGGGAGCUUCGGAGGAAACAACCGUGAGCUUGACUGGUCAAACAGAGAGCAUCGUGGAGACCCGGAGCGCAAGAAGACGGAAUCUAGA